rnacentral:lncRNA from 1 species
CGGGGCUUGCCUGGGAUAAACACUAGGUUAGUGUUGUUAGACGAUGUCUGCUUGACGACCAUCUUUUAUCUUGACAUUCGUCAAAUUAUCCAUCUUCAGGUUCGUCCGACUGACGACGUCGUCUUGCGGAGAUGUUCACUCUCUGCAUUAUCCUGGGGUCGUCUUCCGCAUCACGUGAUCAACAAACGUACCUAAAUGAUUUGCAUAAUGCACAUGAAUGCAUAUAAACAAGAAUAGUAUGAGACUAAAUAUUACUACAUGUUCGCGAAUUAAACACCUAGCAGCAAGGCGUUGUACUAUUUCAUACGGAAACACUAGUUAUCGACAUACGACUAAGCGCAAUAAUCACAAAAUAAUAAAAUAUACAUACUAACACUCACGUCCUUCCUACUUAACCGAAUUUAACUCAUACAUCAGGCAACAACACCCUAAGUAUAAGUUCCAUACUUUAGCCUAUACCAAACAAUUAACAAAAAUUAGGCUCACGUUUCCAAGAUAAUUAAAUUCAAGACUACAGAUAGAAAUCAUUUAUAGCUUUCUAACCCACUACGCUAAUUAGUUCAUACAGUACACUAGACAAACAACAAUAUCACAUAUGACUAGACUGACCACAUCAGAUACGAAGAACCAAUUUAAUUAUACGUUGCACAACUAAUAUGUUUAACUAAAUUCAUCCGACCAAAAGCAGAAGUAACAAAUUGGCUACUAUUACCUAAAUCUGACUUGAAACCGCGAGAUUGACAAUGAUGCCCAGUUCGAGCCUUUCAUUGCGCCACAGGUGGACAACGAAUAGGGACCUUCACGCAAACACACACACAUACAUAAAUCCACAGCUAGCCACAUCGGCGUCUGAUAAGAAAUUAAACAGAGCGAGGACUGCAAGUAUCACCAGUGGGGACGCAAGACGCGACAAGGCCGUUGGAAUAAUGACAGUUCCGAGGGUCAGGCGUUUCAUCGAACAUCUGGCGGCUGAAGCGAGGACGACAUCGAAUCCCAAGAGACGGACAGUGCGUCGACGGCCGAGUCUCACAUUUAGCCGGACAAGUGGCACACGAGGCGCGACGGGAAGGAGUUUGACGCGUCAAGUCUAAAGAAAGCGCGACAUCAACGAUGCUGCAAGC